CUAUAGAAACAACAUAUAACCUUUUUAUUGUUUAUCUUUCCCCCAAAUUUCCCAGAAUCGCAAAUCCUCCACCGAAUCGCAAAUAUGGAACCACAAACCCCUCCGCCGAAUCCCUAAUCGAAGACUUAAACCCCUUCGCCCUUCUCCUUCGUUCAAUUCGUCAAUUUCUCCGCCGUUUUCCUUUACUCCUCCGCCUUUCUCCACCGUUCUCCGCGGUUCUGAGGUAUCGAUUCAAUUGUUCUCUCUGUGAAUCAAAGAAGCCCCUUUUAGUAGUGACCGAGCCUUGAGGAUUGUAUAUGGUUAUUCCAAUCAUGAAAACAUUGGUCACCUUAACCCAGUUAGACUUACAGGUAUGUAUCCAUUCAUUCCAGUUACAUGUGCAGAUUCGCCGACUUCCAUUGCGUGUGUAUGUAGCAUUUCUGCUACUUAUUGUUAGCUUUUUUUUUUGACACAGUUACUUAUAAUGUAUCUAAUACUUAGACGUUGAAGAAGAUAUUUCCAACUUCAUGGUUUUUGUAAUUAUAUUUUUAGUAAGUGGAUUAUUUGAUUUACUGCUAUGGUUGAAUACUAAAGCAAUUUGAGAGGAUCACUUCUGCCAAUGCUAGAGCCAUUAGUAUCAAGUGGACCAUAUCAAGUGGACCACUUCUCAUGUUAUACUCCAAAAUUCCUUCAAGUGUAUCCUUUUUCAAUUCACCUUCAUGCUUUUUUUCCCUAAUUUUUCUAUCAUUUUGCAUUUUCAAUUGCCACAUAGUAUGCUUGUAUUCUUGACACUUGAA